rnacentral:rRNA from 1 species
CAACGCGAAGAACCUUACCAAGAACUUGACAUCCCCUGACAGCUGUUGAAAGGCAGUGUCUCUUCGGAGGCAGGGAGACAGGUGGUGCAUGGUUGUCGUCAGCUCGUGUCGUGGGAUGUUGGGUUAAGUCCGCAACGAGCGCAACCCUUAUCCUUAGUUACCAGCACGUAAAGGUGGGGACUCUAGGGAGACCGCCGGGGACGACUCGGAGGAAGGUGGGGACGACGUCAAAUCAUCAUGCCCCUUAUGUCUUGGGCUACACACGUGCUACAAUGGCCGCAACAGAGGGAAGCGAGAGCGCAAGCUGGAGCAAAACCCUAAAAAGCGGUCCCAGUUCGGAUUGUGGGCUGCAACCCGCCCACAUGAAGUCGGAGUUGCUAGUAAUCGCGAAUCAGCAUGUCGCGGUGAAUGCGUUCCCGGGCCUU